rfam:Pongo abelii chromosome 7.
GCUGGGCAUGGUGGCGUGUGCCUGUAAUCCCAGCUGCUUGGGAGGCCGAGGCUGCAGAAUCACUUGAACCCGGGAGGCUGAGGUUGCAGUGAGCUGAGAUAGUGCCACUGCACUCUAGCCUGGGUGACAGAGUGAGGCUCUGUCUCAA